CUUGUUUUCUAACACUCUCUACCUAAACUAUCUCUAUUUGCCCCUUGUUUCUACUUUGUGAAGCUGCUUUCCCCUUUCUUGCUGUGAGGCCCUUCUCUCUCAAACUGCAGGGUCCUGCUCUCUCUCUUCAAGAGCAGUCAGAAGAAAGACAAGUGAGAAUACAGGGAACAAAGAAAAGCAGAGAGGAGAGCAGAGGCAGCAGAAAGAGGAGUGAGGAGACAGAGAAGAAAGAACAGGGGAAGAGGAGUGCAGAUGCAGAAUAAAGACAAGUCUGGCAACAGGAAACAAAAUCCAACAGAAGAGCAGUGCUGAUGCAGAGGGAAAAGGAGUGAGGAUGAUGCAGGGGAAUAAGAACAGGAGAAGAGUGAGAAUGCAGAGGAAAGAGCAGGGAGGAUAGAAAAGAAGGGAGAGCCUAAGAGGUGGGCAGAUGGAAAAAGAGUGAGGGAAGAAAGAAGAGCAGAAGAGUAGAGCCAAUGCAGAAGAAAGAGGAGUGAGGAAGCAGGGAAACAUACAGCAGAAGAGAAAAGCAGAUGCAGGUGAAAGAGCAGUGGUGAGAUGCAAUGGAAACCAUCAGAAGAGUGAGGAUACAAGGAGGAAAGAACAGCAGAAGAGGAGC
rnacentral:lncRNA from 1 species